GACGAACGCUGGCGGCGUGCUUAACACAUGCAAGUCGAACGGAAAGGCCCUGCUUUUGUGGGGUGCUCGAGUGGCGAACGGGUGAGUAACACGUGAGUAACCUGCCCUUGACUUUGGGAUAACUUCAGGAAACUGGGGCUAAUACCGGAUAGGAGCUCCUGCUGCAUGGUGGGGGUUGGAAAGUUUCGGCGGUUGGGGAUGGACUCGCGGCUUAUCAGCUUGUUGGUGGGGUAGUGGCUUACCAAGGCUUUGACGGGUAGCCGGCCUGAGAGGGUGACCGGCCACAUGGGGACUGAGAUACGGCCCAGACUCCUACGGGAGGCAGCAGUGGGGAAUAUUGCACAAUGGGCGGAAGCCUGAUGCAGCAACGCCGCGUGCGGGAGGACGGCCUUCGGGUUGUAACCGCUUUCGCCUGUGACGAAGCGUGAGUGACGGUAAUGGGUAAAGAAGCACCGGCUAACUACGUG
rnacentral:rRNA from 1 species